rnacentral:snoRNA from 1 species
AACUUUGUCCAAAAGUAAUCCCGCGCUAUAGACAGUACGCUGAAUAAGCCAAUCUACUUAUAUCAGUCGUGAUAAGCGGUGAGGAUAGAUCAAACUUGGGCCCUUUUUUAAGAACUCUAGUGGAUGUGACUGGGAUUCUCCCGGUGUUAUGAUACUAGGGUGUCAGAGAAUGGCUAUAUCU